rnacentral:lncRNA from 1 species
CAAUCUCAUGUUGCCUGUCUUGUAGGCAAUACUAAUGGCAUCGUAUAAUCUUUUGGUUUGAUUUAUGUUACAGGAUCACACAUGCUGAUUCCAGGGAUACUUUUUUAACCACCAGGUCCUUUUAUUCCAGGCACUCAAGAUAGCAUGGCGCAGCCACAUUCACUGAGUGAACUUGAGCAAGGGCAAAGUCUCCAUUCUGGGGAAUAUUGUUUUGUCAAGGGUAUAGACAUUGCACCUUCUGAGCCCUUCACAUGUGCAUCGGGCUCGUUGAACUUUCAGUCAGAGGAUGCUCACGAACCUGCACAAGUGAAUGAGUGUGUGGAGGACAAAACCAAAUCACUUAGCAAGAAAGAAAAGAAACGAUUGAAGAAAGAAAGACAAUUGCUUGAAAUGAAGAAACAGAAAGAGUCUCCAAGGGAUGCAGAUUCGUGCAGCAGUUACAGUACACCUUUGCCAGUUGUGGCAAGUGGAAUUGAAGGUGCUGGUGAUGGAAAAGAAGACUCUUUGGUUUUAAAAAAGGAAGGAGAAAGCUUAGAGUCUCAGUUCAGUGUUUUGGGAGAUGCGGAGACUCAACCUGUUGAACCCCCCACAGUUUCCCAGAGGUCAAUGGACUUCACAUCCAAAGUUCCGGAAGAGGUGCUGGAGGACAAAGUUGAUGAAAUGACGGAACUCAGCAAGAAAAAACAGAAACAGGAGACCUGGAAAAAAAACAACAAGGAAAGAAUACGCAAAAGAAAACAAAAGGCUGAGAAUGGAGGGCAUUCAUCUGAUUGUCUCAUGACUUCACCUGCACUCAACAAGUGUGGGACAGACACAGGGAAGGGAGGAGAUAAAUUCAAGAAAGGACAAAAUAACAAUACCUCUGGAGGAUUUCCCACUGAAGGAAAACCAAAUGAUGCAGUGUUUAAACAGUGCGAAGGGCAAAGCUCACUUGGAGAAACGAAGACUGAGGUUUCUUCGAAUUGUCAAACCAAGGCUGGAGGACCUUCUGAGAAUAUCCCUGAGAGUGAAAAUGAGAGACGAGGAAGGAAUGAUGGCUCAAAGAAACAUCCCAAUGAAAUGCCAAAAAGCCUGCAGGAUAUUAAAGAAAAACAAGUACAACCUCCUGCAAAGGAAGACAUCACUGUCGUUUUUGUUGCUGUCUUGGCAAAGGAAUUUCAGUUCAAUGAACGACGACAAAAAGUGGUGAUAUUACAAAAGUCUGCUGGAGAAUGGGUUAAUAUGGCAACCAUGACUGUUCUUGAAAAGUGUGUGUUUUUUCUUCACUGUUAUAAUGUAAAUGCACUUUUACAUUUCAUUACAAACAUUAUUACUUGAAAUGAAAUUUUGUGAAAUAUAUUAACAGAUUUUGUGCAAUUUAUUUUGAUUCAAAACAUAAUCUCAUUUAAAACUUGUGCACAUGUGCUAGAGUUCGGCCAUUUAGUGAUUAUCUUAUGGAUGAGUGUCGCACCUUUUCUUGUGCUGAUAUGUACUGCAAUCAACAUUAGCAGUUGGUAGUGGGAGUGCUUAAUUGAGAUGGAGAAAAAUUUGAGUUCUUGGCAAAGUCGAUUAAUUUUCCCAAAACUUCACACAACAUUGGAGCACAAUUACAUGAUAACAGCUCCUAUUGUUCAUGUCUCUGUACGAGAAACACCCGUUCAAGCAGCUGGUGAUGGGGGGGAGGGGCAUUCGCAUGUGCACGUGCGCGGAUGAUAAU